rnacentral:lncRNA from 1 species
UUCAUGCACCUUAAGAGUAUUUUAUUUUUCUUUGUGUUUUAACUGUAUACAUAUUUGAAUAAUAAUAAUUGAAUAAUACAAUAUUUGUAAUCUUCUGAGACUUGCAUUUUUUCAUUCCUAAUGUUACUAGGAUUCUUUCAUGUUAUCACAUAUAGCUGUAGUAUAUUUCCAUUACUGUAAAAUACUCUGUUGUAUUGAAUAUACCACCACAUAUAUAUCCAUUCUUCCUCUGAUGGGCAUAUGGUCCAUUUUCUGUUUCUAUGCUAUUAUGAACAGUGCUGCUAUGAAGGUUCCUAUUCAUGUUGUCCUGAGGCACACAGUGCAAAAAUUUCUCUGGGAUAGGAUUGGGAGGUGAUGGGUAGGGAAUAUCUAGGAAGAGAACUAACAGGUUAAAGGGGGAUAUUUAAGGUUAGUUUUACAAGAGGAUGCCAGAUUGUUUCCUAAAGUGUUUUUUUUUUUUAAAUCAAUUUAUAGAUUUGGCAGCAACUUAUAAGAGGUCUUAUUAAUCCAUGUCAUUGGCAUUUUAUAACUUUUUUUCCAAGCAAAUGACUGUCAAAUAGUAUCUCUCUGUGGUUUUGAUGUUUUAUUUCUCCAGGUACUAGUCAGUUUGUGUAUACCAUUUUAAGUUUCCUGGCCAUAAGUUUCUUCAUUUAUGAAAUAUCUGUUCAUAUCUUUUUGCUCAUUUACUGAGUUCGAUCUUUCUUAUAUGUGUAGGAGUUUUUCAUAUAUUCUUGGUUCUAAUAGAUAUAUGGCAAACAUCUUUUUCUAGUUUGCAGCUUUUCCUUAAUUUGUUAGUACUUUUUGUAACUUGCCUAAGAAAUCCUCUUUACUUCCUCCAACCCUGCUGCCAGUGUUUUCACCUAUAUUAAAAUUUUGUUCUGUCUUACACAUUUUAGAGUCAAUUCAUCAAGAUCAUGAACAUCUGUCCAUGAUUGGGUUUUAUUAAGUCUAGGAUUAAGUUAGGAAAAGGUAACAUUGUUAUGAAAUUAAGUCUUCCUUUCAGUAAACAGGGAUAUUUUUUCAUUUAAUUAGAUUUAUUUUAUUUCCAUCAGCAAAAUUUUUGUAGUUUUAUAAGUACUCUUACAUGUUUUUAUUAUGGUUGCUAUUGUUAAGAUUGUCUUUUUAUUUUUUUAUUAUUUUUAAAAAAAAUUUUAAAAGAUUUUAUUUAUUUAUUCAUGAGAGACAGAGAGAGAGGCAGAGAUACAGGCAGAGGGAGACGCAGGCUCCAUGCCAGGAGCCCUACGUGGGACUCAGUCCCGGGUCUCCAGGAUCAGGCCCUGGGCUGAAGGUGGCGCUAAACCGCUGGGCCACCGGAGCUGCCCAGGCCUGUCUUUUUUUAAAGUUACACUUUCUGUUUGUCGUCCAUGACUGGAAAUGUAGUCACUUGCUAAGCUGUCCUAUUUAUACUAAUUUUGGGUAUAGAUCACUUUAAGCUUUCUAUGUAGACAAUCAUAUUGUCUGCAGAUAAUAAGAGUAUUUCUUCCUUUCUAAUGCUUUUUUUUUUUUUUUUUAAGAUUUCAUUUAUUCACUGGAGAGAAAGAGACAAGGGGAGCAUAAGUAGGGGGAGGGGCAGAGGGAGAGGCAGAAGCAGAAGCAGGCUCCCCAGUGAGCAGGGAGCCCUAUGCGGGUAUGCAAGGCUUAGUCCCAGGACACUGGGAUCAUGACCUGAGCCAAAGGCAACUGACUGAGCCACCCAGGUGCUCCUCCUUUCUAAUCCUCAUAAUUUUAAGUUUUUCUGGUCUUACUGUGCUAACUAGAAUCUUUGACACAGUGUUAAAUAGAAUGAUAGUAGGCACUUCUAUGUUAUUCCUGAUGUUAAAGGGAAUGCUUCUAAUAUUUCUCCAUUUAGGAUGAUGUUUAUUGCAUAUUUUAUCUGUUUGCUUUUGUUAUCCUAGUUUGCUAAAAGUUUUUAAUCAUGAAUAGAUGUUGACUUUCUUCCAAAUUAAAGCAAGUUCAAAAAUGUGACCAUGUAUGAUGCCACAUUAUAUUCUAGAUAGAGCAGAAGCCAUAAUGGAGAAUACUAUGACAGGUAGUAAAAUCUGAAUAUGUAGUGUGAAUUAGCUAAUAGUAAUGUAUUGAUGUUAAUUUCCCCAGUUUGAUCAUUAUACUGUGGUUAUCAAGAUAAUGCCUUUGAGCUCAGAAGUACAUGCUGAGAAAGUUGUAAAGGGACAUGGUAAUAACUCCAGGUCAUUCUAAAUGCUUAAGAAAACUUUUAAGAAAUGGAUCAUUUCCUUCUGUUUUAUUGCCCUUAUAUUGCCUCAUGAUCUGAUCUGGUUUUUCAAGUUCCAGCCAUCAAAUAAACGUUCCAGUCAACCAGCAGGGAAGGAGGGAGGAACAACAGCAUGUCCUCUUUGUAAGACACUACACGGAAAUAACUCAUGAAAAUUCCACUUCUCUCUCAUUGGCCAGAACAUAGACAUAUGGCCACGCUUGGCAGCAAGGAAGGCUGGGAAGUGUAUUCUCUAGUUUAGCCAGGCUAAAAAUCAGGGCUCUUAUUUCUAAGGAAAAGGGGGAGAGUAGGCAUUGGGGUCAACCAGCAGUCUCUUCUAUUACCACCUUGUGAGUGAAUUACAUGACGUGCAUGCAAAGCUUGUGGUGCUUAGUAGGAUUCAAUUAAAAUAUGUUCUUUCAUGAUUUCACUUGCAUUAUCCAAUUUGAUCUUCAUAGUAAUCAUAUGAGUUAGGACAAAUAUGAUUGUAAUUGCAGAUUAGGAAACUAAGACUCAAGCUAAUUAUAGUUGUUGCUGCUGGUGGUAGUUUUUGUUUGAUUUGUUUUAAAGCAGUCAGUAGAAUCAAAGCAAAGGGAGCAGUGGCACUGUUCCGGAGUUGUAGCUCCUCUAGACAGAUUCUACCUCCCAGAAAGUCCUGCAGUUCUUUGUUCUGUGACGUUCUCCAUAGUCUGACAAAUCUGCAGAUUUGUCAGACAGAAGCAGGUCCCCUGAUGGCCACUGUGGGGCGCUUUCUACUGUAUCCCAUAGGAACUAGGUUGAUGGAAAUGACAUGGACCUCCAGCAGGUGCCUCUCCUUCCCAAAAGUAGAAAUCCAAACAAGGGGAUCCCUGGGUGGCGCAGCGGUUUGGUGCCUGCCUUUGGCCCAGGGCACGAUCCUGGAGACCCAGGAUCGAAUCCCACGUCAGGCUCCUGGUGCAUGGAGCCUGCUUCUCCCUCUGCCUAUGUCUUUGCCUCUCUCUCUCUCUCUCUCUCUCUCUCUCUGUGUGACUAUCAUAAAUAAAUAAAAAAAUUUAAAAAAAAA